rnacentral:rRNA from 1 species
AACGCGAAGAACCUUACCUACCCUUGACAUCUGUGGAAUUUAGCGGAGACGCUAGAGUGCCGAAAGGAACCACAAGACAGGUGCUGCAUGGCUGUCGUCAGCUCGUGUCGUGAGAUGUUGGGUUAAGUCCCGCAACGAGCGCAACCCUUGUCCUGUGUUGCCAUACCGAAAGGUGGAACUCGCAGGAGACCGCCAGGGAUAACCUGGAGGAAGGUGGGGAUGACGUCAAGUCCUCAUGGCCUUUAUGUCCAGGGCUACACACGUGCUACAAUGGACGGUACAAAGGGCUGCCAACCCGCGAGGGGGAGCCAAUCCCAAAAAACCGUUCUCAGUUCGGAUUGCAGGCUGCAACUCGCCUGCAUGAAGCUGGAAUCGCUAGUAAUGGCGGAUCAGAACGCCGCCGUGAAUACGUUCCCGGGCCUUGUACACACCGAGACGAC